CAAGCAUUCUUACCUCCAACACUAAAAAUGUAACUUCCGGUUUGCGAGCGAAGACAUUUUCUGCAUUUCUGCAGGGUUUUCCCUCAGCAGGCAAGAAAGGCCCUUAAUUUCAAAUGCAUUGGCAUGAUAAUAUUCAUUGAGGCUACACGGAUCAUCUCUGAUCUUCGGUUUUAUAGUAGACAUAGUCAUGAUGCCUUCUGGCGAUGACCCAGAUGUUGACGAUGUGAAAGACUGGGUAUUGCACACUUCAGUUGGUGAAGGACACAAGUUUGGAAUCAUCCGUAUUCCACCUGUCCAAACUGUUCGAUGUAUCCACAUCUCUUCCAACGUUGUUUCAGCGGUUUAAUGAUGGACUUUUCCAAUUUCUUGCCAUCUUUAGCUUCAGCCUUUUCAUAGGCCUCUUUUUAGUACAAGCUAACAUGGCCUGGCAGUCGUACCAGAUGCUUCAACGACUGUCGCGGAAUCGACCAGUCCCGGACAUGGUGUACCACCUCUACUUCGACUCCCUGGACUGGGAAAUUGAUCCCAGUAAGGUGGACCUGAAGGUUAACACCAGCAUCUUUGUACAUUAACAUCACAUCAUCGGGGAAGACAGAUAAACAACACGCUCAUCUGUCUUCAGAGCUUCUUUUCUUAAAUGUGUAUGGUUGUUCCGAGUUAGAUCAUUGCUUCAACUCUUCUAUGUACAUCUGUUGACCGGACAUAAUGUAACAAGCACCCUGUCCCUCAUUCAUAUUACAAACAGUGGCAUUACUUCACAAAUAUGGCAAGAUCUUGGUAAUUAUGAGACGGAUAUAUAUAGCACCAGGGCCUUCAUUAUUCAUUGUUUCCAUGCCAAGUUUUAUGCCAAGUCUUAUGCCCUGUGUACUUAUUGGGUCACUUCAGUACUCAUACUACACUUAUUUCUGAGUUCUACUCAGUUCUUUCAAAGUUGCAGCCAAAUUAAUGAUUGAAUGCAGGCAUUACUUUGUGUAAUAUAACCUAAUACUUAACGUCUUACAACGAAUGUUGACCAAUAAAUUACCAUACAUGAACAUGAUGAAGAUCAGUUUGGGGAUCAACCUUAGCACUCAGGAGAAGAUUUUCAUAAAGGUAGACCCAUUUUCUAAGAUUUUUGGCGAUGGUUGGGGGGUCGUAAUAUGGUCAGUAAACAUGAUAAAGUUGAAUAUGUUUUGCAACUAAUGAAGGAUAUGUUCAUGGUAGUCUGAACAGUGUAUGAGGGUGGUCAGAAGAUGUCAGUCUGUACAAGGUGUAUGAGGGUGUUUGAGGGUGGCCAGAAGAUGUCAGUCUGUACAAGGUGUAUGAGGGUGUUUGAGGGUGGCCAGAAGAUGUCAGUCUGUACAAGGUGUAUGAGGAUGGUCAGAAGAUGUCAGUCUGUACAAGGUGUAUGAGGGUGGUCAGAAGAUGUCAGUCUGUACAAGGUGUAUGAGGGUGGUCAGAAGAUGUCAGUCUGUACAAGGUGUAUGAGGGUGGUCAGAAGAUGUCAGUCUGUACAAGGUGUAUGAGGGUGUCCAGAAGAUGUCAGUCUGUAUAAGGGGUAUGAGGGUGGUCAGAAGAUGUCAGUCUGUACAAGGUGUAUGAGGGUGGUCAGAAGAUGUCAGUCUGUACAAGGUGUAUGAGGGUGGUCAGAAGAUGUCAGUCUGUACAAGGUGUAUGAGGGUGUCCAGAAGAUGUCAGUCUGUACAAGGUGUAUGAGGGUGGUCAGAAGAUGUCAGUCUGUACAAGGGGUAUGAGGGUGGUCAGAAGAUGUCAGUCUGUACAAGGUGUAUGAGGGUGUCCAGAAGAUGUCAGUCUGUACAAGGUGUAUGAGGGUGGUCAGAAGAUGUCAGUCUGUACAAGGGGUAUGAGGGUGGUCAGAAGAUGUCAGUCUGUACAAGGGGUAUGAGGGUGGUCAGAAGAUGUCAGUCUGUACAAGGGGUAUGAGGGUGGUCAGAAGAUGUCAGUCUGUACAAGGUGUAUGAGGGUGGUCAGAAGAUGUCAGUCUGUACAAGGUGUAUGAGGGUGUCCAGAAGAUGUCAGUCUGUACAAGGUGUAUUAGGGUGGUCAGAAGAUGUCAGUCUGUACAAGGUGUAUGAGGGUGGUCAGAAUAUGUCAGUCUGUAUAAGGCAGAAAAUGACCAUGAAAUGUAUUAUUUGAUCUUGAUUUGCAAAACACUAACUGGAUAAUGUGUUUACUGAGAUGUUGGUCUAAUCACACAGGAGAAGUCUACAAUCCUGUCAAACAUAGCACAUAGUCAACAGUGGGCAAUUGUUAGUCCUUCUUGAUAAGAUAAGGUUUCCAAGUUUGUCUCCAUUCUAUUUGAUAUGGGAAAACUUUCCCAUAUAUGUAUGCCCUACACUGUAGCAAUAUAUGUAAGAAAAUAAGGAGUGUAAAAAAAGAAAUAUUUCACUCCAAACAAACAUCAAUAGACAAAAGGAAAUGGUAAACUGAUCUUCCACCUUUAGAUAUAAGACACAGUGGGUUUUGUACAUACCCUCAUAGGACUGGGAUAUUCCUGAGAUUCACACAUACAUAGCAAUAAAUAUUGGAGUCAGUGUGUUGGACAUGCUGAGAAUAUAUGAAGUGGUCUUGAUAAGUUCCAGUAAUAGUAUAUACUCAAGUCCACAGUUGCCUACUGACCAAUCAUGCAAGGCUUCAUUUACAGAUUUACAAUCCAUUUAUUGUUUUUGUCACUGCUGAAACAUUGUGUAGUAUAGCUCUCAUGAACGCUGUUAUUAGUAGGCUACAUAAUGACAUGGUGACCCAUCUUACCCUGUGUCAGGUGCAGGAGCUGGCUGGACACGGGGCACAUUUGGUGCAUUUGGACAGUUACAACAUUUUUUAAUGAAGAUCCAUGUCUGUAUGUCGCUUGAGCUGUGAAAUGUCUGUUGUUAACAUCCCACCUUUUUCUGGUACAUAUUGUGACUCGAUUAGACUGAACAGUGAUUCAUUGUGCUGUCAAAGAAGGGUUUUACAAUUUUACACAAUUGACUAGGGAAUAGAUGUUUUUGGAAUGGUGUAUUUCAAUCAGUCACAUCACCACUUAAUGAAUGUUAUAUCAAGGCAUGAAUGUGAUUAUGAAAGUGUUGUGUAUUUUAUCCACUGGAAUCAUGUUUAUUCCUAUAUGUUUGCUGUGUUGAUUUUAACUCUAAAUGUCUUGAUGUAGUUAUUUAUGGACAAGGUACACUGAUCGGUGAGCUGUUCUGAUUAUGUAGUCUGCCUUCAACAACCCAUUAACAUUUAUUUAUCAUAUUUAUGGAUGGUCUUGCAUCUUAUAAAAUUUGAACAGGCCUUCCUCUUGUUCCUCAGCCAGGCAGAUGGGGAAAUAUUGGGCAUGACUACGGCCUCAUGACUUUGUGCUUGUACUUCUAGCACGUCACUUGUUCUUAGUUUGUCCUGUAUCUGGCUUCAAGUAAAGCACGAAUUAGGGCACUGCUUGUUGAUUAAGAUUGUAUUAUCAAAUUUAGUGGAAAUUUUGUCUGAAAGCUCAUAUAUCAUGUGAAAGAACAGAAGCUUCUUCAUACCUCACUGCAUGUCCAUUAAAUAUCACAUUGAUAUGUGCAGAAGUAGCCAGGUUGGGGGUCAAAACUACUUCUGUGAGCUGUUUCAGAGACACCACAAUUCUUUUUUUUUCUUUUUGUUGUUGUUUAACGCCACACUCAGCAAUAUUCCAGCUAUAUGUCGGCGGUCCAGAAAUAAUCGAGUCUGGACCAGACAGUCCAGUGUUUGAUAUCAUUAACAUCGA